rnacentral:tRNA from 1 species
GGGGCCUUAGCUCAGUUGGUAGAGCGCUGCCUUUGCAAGGCAGAUGUCAGGAGUUCGAAUCUCCUAGGCUCCACCU